GCUGGUGAUGUACCCUUCCCUGUGAUCCCUGAGUGUGGCAGCAUGAGUAGCGGCGGUUAUUGUGCUGAAGAGGAGAGCGCGUGUGUGGAUUCCCGUUUUGUAAAUAAACUGUCACCUUUUGCUUGCCAGAACUCCGGCUGCAGGUAUAGCCUGUGGCUAAGGGAUCAGAGCAUUCAGCACUUCAGACACUCAACACCCCACCCAGACGACAGCCUUACCAUGACCUGAUGAGAAGGAUGGAUGACCAAAGGACAAACUGGAGAGUGGUGCUGUUUUCGAACUAUGGCAGUGUCUUUAGCAAUCCUGGAACAGCUGAGAGUGGACAGAGCUGCACAGAGGACCAAAGAUCCACUCUCAGCACUUUAUAUCUGACCGGCCCCAGCACCACCCCUCUUCACCCAACGUGAGGAGGGUCCUGACCCCGCCUGCACAGCGGGAGUUGUGGACAUCCAUUUCUAUGUCAGUGAGUUUAGGAACCUCCUCACACACACACGGAUGUACACCGUCACUAGAAGAUGUCUCCAUUGCAUCAGCAGGAUGUAAGCAUUUAUACAAUACUGCAGUUUGUGAUAUUUCAUACAUGUUUUUAUCUCUUCAGUUAAAACUAGGAGAUA